UCAGAGGUAGCUCAGUGGUAGAGCGUCUGUAUGACACACCGGAGGCCCCAGGUUCAAAUCCUGGCCUCUGAC